rnacentral:lncRNA from 1 species
CUCGGACAUUUUUAUGCUGGUCAACAGAACCACGUAUGCCAGCAGUUAUCUUAGUUUUGAUAAACAUCACGCUGAGCCGAUUGGAUCGCUCCCAUCGCUCAUAUAACGCGAUCUCAGUUGGAGUGCUGGUAUUAGUGACUAUAGGUGGUUCGUCUUUUCUAAUAGCAUAAUCAAUAUCCAUCCACCCUAAAUGGAGGAGAACCCUCUCCUUCCAUAUCUUAUAGUUAUCACCACUAAGUU